CAUUGUUUAACCCCUUAGUGACCGCGAACGUACAGGGGACGUCAGACAAAAAACGGUCCUUAACAACCGCUGACGUACCCUGUACGUCCGUGGCCAAUAUGAGUGCUGGAGGCGAUCAUGAUUGCUUCCAGCUGCUCUAAGGGUAUUGCAGCAAUGCUUCAUGGAGCCCGGCAGAGUAGUGCAGAGCAACGGAAGCCAUCAGGCAGGCUUCCAAUGCUCUGACUGUAUGCUGAGUGCCUUGAGGGGUCGAGGCGCUCAGUGAAGAAAAUAACCUCUCCCCAAAAAAGUAUUAACCUCUCACCCCCCAACACUAACCCCCUCCCCAAUAUUAACCCCCUCCCAUUCACUUACCUUAUCUCUGUCGUUCCCACCACCGGCGAUCGGUCUUCUUCUCCAUUUCGGGGGACUGUCUGAUUGCCAGACAGUCCCCCCUCUGCAAAUUAGGAC